GACUCUGUGGCGCAAUGGUAGCACGUCUGACUCCAGAUCAGGAGGUUGCGUGUUCGAAUCACGUCAGGGUCA
rnacentral:tRNA from 1 species